rnacentral:rRNA from 1 species
UGGGGGAUAUUGCACAAUGGGGGGAAACCCUGAUGCAGCGACGCCGCGUGAGUGAAGAAGUCUUUCGGUAUGUAAAGCUCUGUCAGCAGGGAAGAAGAAAGUGACGGUACCUGACCAAGAAGCCCCGGCUAACUACGUGCCAGCAGCCGCGGUAAUACGUAGGGGGCAAGCGUUAUCCGGAAUUACUGGGUGUAAAGGGAGCGUAGACGGUAAUGUAAGUCUGGAGUGAAAGGCGGGGGCCCAACCCCCGGACUGCUCUGGAAACUAUGUUACUGGAGUGCAGGAGAGGUAAGCGGAAUUCCUAGUGUAGCGGUGAAAUGCGUAGAUAUUAGGAGGAACACCAGUGGCGAAGGCGGCUUGCUAGGCCGGAUCUGACACUGAUGCACGAAAGCGUGGGGAUCGAACAGG